GUUGAUGGAUAAUAAAAUCAUGAGUGUAGCCUUUAAAACAUUUGUCAGAUCCGAUCGCUCAACCUAAUGGAAAGAUAAUCUAUCUAUAUUUAUGUUGUUUUUUUUUAUAAAAUAUAUCUUCCAAAGAUUGAGUGUGCAACAUUUUAGGUCAUAUGAUUAGGAGUGUGGGCUCACAAAGGUAGAAGGACUAAACAUAUUGAAUCGAUUGGGUUGGUUAAUCUAGAGUUGUAAAUCAUACAUGUUUGUCUCGUUUAUUCAUGUGAACGCCCGAACCAAGGAAAAGCUUAUAGAAGUGAUAGUC
rnacentral:lncRNA from 1 species